CCUACGGGUGGCAGCAGUGAGGAAUAUUGGUCAAUGGGCGGGAGGCUGAACCAGCCAAGUCGCGUGAAGGAAGAAGGCGCCAGGCGUUGUAAACUUCUUUUGUCGGGGAAUAAAGGGCUCCACGCGUGGCGUUUUGAGUGUACCCGAAGAAAAAGCAUCGGCUAACUCCGUGCCAGCAGCCGCGGUAAUACGGAGGAUGCGAGCGUUAUCCGGAUUUAUUGGGUUUAAAGGGUGCGUAGGCGGUCCUGAAAGUCAGCGGUAAAAGCCGGGGGCUCAACCCCGGCCAGCCGUUGAAACUGUCGGACUAGAGUGUGCGAGAGGUAGGCGGAAUGCGCGGUGUAGCGGUGAAAUGCAUAGAUAUCACGCAGAACUCCGAUUGCGAAGGCAGCGUACCGGCGCCGAACUGACGCUGAGGCACGAAAGCGUGGGUAUCGAACAGGAUUAGAUACCCUUGUAGUC
rnacentral:rRNA from 1 species